rnacentral:rRNA from 1 species
AUUGAACGCUGGCGGCAGGCCUAACACAUGCAAGUCGAACGGUAACAGGAAGCAGCUUGCUGCUUCGCUGACGAGUGGCGGACGGGUGAGUAAUGUCUGGGAAGCUGCCUGAUGGAGUGGGAUAACUACUGGAAACGGUAGCUAAUACCGCAUAAUGUCGCAAGACCAAAGAGGGGGACCUUCGGGCCUCUUGCCAUCGGAUGUGCCCAGAUGGGAUUAGCUUGUUGGUGGGGUAACGGCUCACCAAGGCGACGAUCCCUAGCUGGUCUGAGAGGAUGACCAGCCACACUGGAACUGAGACACGGUCCAGACUCCUACGGGAGGCAGCAGUGGGGAAUAUUGCACAAUGGGCGCAAGCCUGAUGCAGCCAUGCCGCGUGUAUGAAGAAGGCCUUCGGGUUGUAAAGUACUUUCAGCGGGGAGGAAGGGAGUAAAGUUAAUACCUUUGCUCAUUGACGUUACCCGCAGAAGAAGCACCGGCUAACUCC